AUGCAUGAGAAUCCCAGAGAAUUAAUGUGGAAAGGUGCAUUGGUCCAAUCUUCCUUUAUUGAAAAGCUGAAGCCUAGAGAGGGGGCACUCCAGUCCAGCCACACAGACCUUUCUUCCUGCUUCUCAAACACACCAGGAAUGCUCCAAACUCAGAGCCUUUGCAUUGCUGUGAGCCCUGCCUAACCUGCUCUUCCUCCAGGGAUCUGAUACCUCAUCCAGAGCUUAGCCCAGUGUCGCCUUCUCAGUGAAGCCCUCUCUGGCCAAGAACAAAAAUAUUAAAUUAUAUGCUGAAUCUCCUUUUCCCCACUUAAUUUUUCUCUUUAAUACUUAUCAGCAAUAAAACCAAUAUAUUUAAUGUUUUUAUGUCUCCCCACUUGAAUUUCAGCUCUACAAGGACUAAAAUUUUCAUCAGUUCUGGUCUUUAUUUUUCCUUCAAUCACUAGAAUGGUGACUAAUGCAUAAUAGGGGUUCAAUAAGUACUUAUUAAGCAAUGAAUCAUUAUAGUUGCAUCAAUCUAUUGUAAAAAUAAAAAACACACACAGAAAUGAUAAAUACCCACAUUUUUAUAGUUUAGUGAAAGAGAGAAAACAAGAGGAGGAAUGAAAAAUAACUAUUUCUGCAAUAUUUUAUUUCUUUGGAGAAAAAAAAGGAAAAAAGACCUCUAAGUGAAAAGACACCAGAGGCUAAGGAAAGUAUUUGCAAAACACAAACCCAAAAAAGAACUUAUAUGGGUACAAAAAAACUAGAAUAAGACCUACUAUUUGAUAGCAUAACAGGGUGAGUAUAGUCAAUCAUAACUGAAUAAUACAUUUUAAAAUAACUAAAAGAAAAUAAUUGGAUUAUUUGUAAAACAAAGGAUAAAGUCUUGAGGGGAUGGAAACCCCAUUCUCCAUGAUGUGUUAUUUCACAUUGCAUGCCUGUAUCAAAACGUCUCAUGUACCUUGUAAAUCUAUGUACCAACUAUGUACCCAGAAAAAAUUUAAAAAUUAAAAUCAAACAAAAAAGAACUUGUACCGAGAGUGUAUAAUGAACUCUCAAAAUUCAACAAGAAAGCAAACAUUCCUUAUACAAUGUAUACACGUAUUGAAACAUGGCACUGUACCUCAUAAAUAUGUACAAUUAUUGUCAAU
rnacentral:lncRNA from 1 species